rnacentral:rRNA from 1 species
GAUGAACGCUAGCGGGAGGCUUAACACAUGCAAGUCGAGGGGCAGCAUAGGGUAGCAAUACUCUGAUGGCGACCGGCAAACGGGUGAGUAACGCGUAUGCAACCUACCCUGUACAGGGGGAUAACCCGGAGAAAUUCGGACUAAUAUCCCGUAAUAAUAUCCGGAGGCAUCUUUGGAUAUUUAAAGUUCCGACGGUACGGGAUGGGCAUGCGUAACAUUAGCUGGUUGGUAAGGUAACGGCUUACCAAGGCUAUGAUGUUUAGGGGUCCUGAGAGGGUGGUCCCCCACACUGGUACUGAGACACGGACCAGACUCCUACGGGAGGCAGCAGUGAGGAAUAUUGGUCAAUGGGCGCAAGCCUGAACCAGCCAUCCCGCGUGCAGGAAGACGGCCCUAUGGGUUGUAAACUGCUUUUCCAGGGAGAGAAACUUACGCACGUGUUGCGUGACUGACGGUACCCUGGGAAUAAGCAUCGGCUAACUCCGUGCCAGCAGCCGCGGUAAAAUCAACGUGUAC